UACGUAGGCAGCAAGCGUUGUUCGGAGUUACUGGGCGUAAAGGGUGUGUAGGCGGUUGGAUAAGUGUGGUGUGAAAUCUCCCGGCUUAACUGGGAGGGUGCGCUACAAACUGUCUGACUAGAGUGUGGGAUGGGAAAGUGGAAUUCCUGGUGUAGCGGUGAAAUGCGUAGAGAUCGGGAAGAACAUCAGUGGCGAAGGCGGUCUGCUGGGCCGUUGCUGACGCUGAGGCGCGAUAGCGUGGGGAGCAAACAGG
rnacentral:rRNA from 1 species